CUCACAACUCACAAGGAACAAGCAGUUCCAUACAAUCUUUAGAAUCUCUCUCAACAAAAAAUAUUAUAUUGCAUUUUCAUCAUUUUCUAGUAUUAUCAUUAACAUUAGCAAACCAAACACAAACAUCAAAAGAUAUAUACAGUAGUAGGUUGUUGAUUCAACAUACACAAUUUCAUUGGAAGGUCACAAAGAUUGAGUUUUAGUUCAUUUUGGACAGCACUCUUGUCAGGUUAAAAACAGACCUUUUUGAAGUACAAACUUACCUUUACAUACUUGUUGAAAAGACCAUGUUCAAGUGCCAUGUAACCUGUUUGCUUAUAUUAUUAUUAUGACUAUUAUAACAAAUCAUUAUAAAGUGGAACUUUAAAAAAUAAUGUCGAACUGAAGCAAAAGAAAUAGAUGUAGCAUGAACUAACAAAUUAAUUUUAAUUGUCAAACAAUUAUUAAAUUAUGAAACAAAUGUACAACCAGAUAAUAAAAAAUAAAAAUCUUCUCAUCUCAGUAUCCAAACCAAAGAUAAAAUUAAUAUGAGAGUUGUAGGUCAGAUAUUAUUAAAAUAGAAUUUUAAAAUCUAGAACUUUUUAUUCAAACUAUAAAAUUUGGUACAUAAAAAGCAUCUCAGUCAUUGCCUAUCUUGUGUGCCAUGAAACACACACAAAUUUUGAUGGAUACUAAAAAUAUGGUUAAUUCUGUGCUUGAAUUUUGAUUCAAAUCUUAUCAAAUUACCAUUGAUUAAUUAUAUGUAGUACAAAGAACUGUCAAUCUUGACUGAACUGUCAAAUUGCUUUACAAGAUAAUCAAUAUAUACUUUUGAAUGCCGAUUGUUUUUCAUUCCCUAUAAUACAAGACAUAUUCCAAAGAUCAUCCUGCAGUCUGGUUGUGGUUUUCCUUGCCAUGUAUAAGAAUCAAUUUUCUUUUAUUUUCUGCAACUCACAUUACCCCCAAAAUUAAGUAUUAUGUGCUGAGCUUCAGUUCAUCCAUAUUCAAAUAAGUUCCACUUUGUAAUGAAGUAAAGGCAAUAUCCUAGCUUAUUUCAACCUUCACUGUUUGUUUUAAAGUUGGGAAAGAUUUUUAAAAAUCACAAAGCUUGUUCUGAAAUUAAAAUUUUGUUGAAAACCACAAUGUGGUUGGCACAAGAAUAAAAAAAAACAACUGAAGAACACAAUCCUCCUACAAGUCAGUAUUGUAUAAAACUGCUUUGUUCCUCAACAAAUCCAUUUUAUUUGUGUCCAGGAAUAAUCAAACUCAUGUAUUAAGAGUCUGCUGGGAUAAAUAAGACAGGACUAUUGAACAACAAGGCAGUUCUAACAGUGCUAAUUUUAAAAGUAUUGUAUACUUCAAUUGAUCACUAAUUGCUUUUUGUAUGAUUCAAUAUCUGAAGACAUCAGAAUCAACAUUGAAAGAAACAUUACAUUGUGAUUUUCAGAUUAACAUUCCAAACUUUCAACAAACACUGAUAGUCCACUUAAACAAGAGAAGAUUGAGAUGGAACAUAAGUUUACUGUUUUCACUAUGCACUUCAAUAAGUUCAAAACAUAAAUUACGAUGAGACAAAUAUGUUCAUCAAUAUUCU
rnacentral:lncRNA from 1 species